rnacentral:pre_miRNA from 1 species
GCAUAUUUCAUUCGCGCCUGUAUCUUGCUGAACCGUUACCAUUGUGACAUCCAAAUCCGGUUGAGCAAAAUUUCAGGUGUGUGAGAAAUUUGUAGCGGCU